AAGCGGAAGCCUCCGCGGCGGUGACGUCCGGCCGGGGAAGGAGCCGUGGUUGAAGUUGCGGGUCGGGGAUCGGGUCCGCCUGAGGCGCCGCCAGCGGCACCGACCGCGCGGGACGAUGAGGCGGGCAGAGAUGAAGCACGGGAAAUCAUCAUCUCCAAAGCAAGACUAACUGCUCCGAACUUGAUAGUACUCAGCAGGAGGGAGAGGAGGAAAUGUGAAACAGAAUCUAGAGGAAAGGAUUUACCUGGAGUAAAAGAUCACUGACC
rnacentral:lncRNA from 1 species